rnacentral:rRNA from 1 species
UACGGAGGGUGCGAGCGUUGCUCGGAAUCACUGGGCGUAAAGCGCGUGUAGGCGGCCCAUUAAGUCUGAUGUGAAAGCCCGGGGCUCACCCCCGGAAGUGCAUUGGAAACUGAUGGACUCGAGUCCCGGAGAGGAGAGUGGAAUUCCUGGUGUAGCGGUGAAAUGCGCAGAUAUCAGGAGGAACACCAAUAGCGAAGGCAGCUCGCUGGGACGUUACUGACACUGAGGCGCGAAAGCGUGGGGAGCGAACGGG